CUGGAGGCCUGUCACUGGUGGUGUUCCCCAAGGUUCAAUACUGGGUCCAGUACGGUUAAAUGUACUCAGCAAUGACUUAGAUGAAGGGACAGAGGCCUCCUCAGCAAGUUUGCUGUAAACAAAAAGCUGGGCAGAGUGGUCAACACCCUAGAGGUCUGUGCAGUCCCUCAGAAGGACCUUGACAAGUUGGAGGGGUGGGAGGAGAAGAACCAUUUGAAAAUCAACAAAGGUGAGUGCAGGAUCCUGCACCUGGGGAGGAACAACCCCAAGGACCAGGACACCUUGGGGACUGGUGUGCUGGGAAGCAGCUCUGUGGAGAAGAACCUGGGGGUCCUAGUGGGCAACAAGCUGUCCAUGAUCCAGCAGUGUGUCCUUGUGGCCAAGAGGGCCAAGAGUAUCCUGGGGAUAUGAGGAAGAACAUUGCCAACGGGUCAAGUGAGUUGAUCCUGCCCCUCUACUCUGCCCCAGUGAGGUGCAUCUGGAAUGUUGUGUCCAGUUCUGGACUACUCAGGACACGAGAGACAUGGAGCUCCUGAAGCAGGUCCAGCAGAGGGUGACAACGAUGAUUAGGACUGAAGUGUCUCUCUUACAAGGACGGACGGAGGUAGCUGGGACUGUUCAGCCUCAAGAAGAGACAACUGAGAGGGGACCUUAUCAGUGCCUCUAAGUAUCUGAAGGUCCAGCAACAUCAAUUAACUGUGGCUCUGCUGGGUUUUGGGGCCUCGGUGAAAAGAAUUUGGGCAGGUGCACAUCUCGUUGUCCUUUUCCUUGGUGCAAUUCGAAGCUCAAUGGUGUGGUGCGUAUUUCUCAGGAAUCUCAUGGGUUGAAGUCAAAUCAACUUUGUUGCCAAUGUUGUGGGUAAAAGUACAUCUUUAAGGAAAUAUGUGAAUGAGAGAAAUAAAGAAAGAUAAUUUCUCAAUUUUACUAACAACUCUGAUUUUCUCUUUACCGUAGAUAAAACAAUCUGCCCAGGAUUCUUCUUUCCUCCUCAUCAUUUCUGUUUUCCUCUUGAUUGAGUAGGUCAGUAAUGUAAACUGAUAAACUGCUCAGAAACAUGAUGUGGACAUGAGGACUUUCAUCAAGCUUAUCAUUUCAGAAUGGCCUCAGGGCCAGAAUAUUCAACACAGGAAAGACAAAGAGGUUUCGCAAAAUAAAUCCCUCUUGUGGUAUGCCCAGACUUGCAUUAACUGGAAUGAGUAGUUCCAAUUUGAACAACUGCUUGAUGCUGGCCAACUGCUCGAUGCUGCUGUAACAUUUUUUUUUCAGAAUAAACCUGUGUGGAACACAUAUGGAGAUUCCCCUCUCUUUACUUCUUUGCCUUCGCCUGCGUGCCUGCUUAACAGCGACAGGAAGAUCCAGCCCCUUUUGGAUGAGGAGCUCUACCCCAUUUUCAUUGUGUGUUGGGCACUGAGUGCCGCCUUCCAGACGGGUUUCAGUGUUGACCUCCGGGCUUCUUUGUGUCGGCACGCAAGGGGUAAAACCCCCUUCUGCCAGCUCCCAGUGGCUGGAAACCCCUCCAUGGUAGCAUUAAAAGUUUCUUUAAACCAAGAUUAAAAAUUUUAGUAGUAUUUCACCAUAUAUGAGAUAGAAAGAUAUGGCAGCUCUGUCUCCUGCAUAAAGUAUCUUAUUUAAUUGGUUUUGAAUUUUCUUUUAUGAUGUUUCCUUUUGUUUCUCUUAGUAGGGCACUAAAUAUUCUCAAAUUGAAAUCUGAUCAUUUUUCAUUUUGCUGUUUGCAGUUUUGUUGGUUUUCAAGUAUCCUGUAGCUAUCCAGCUUUUCCAAACUGAAUAACUAUGACAUUUUCCCAGUUUUCAAUAGAUGUAUGUUCCAUCAUGCUUCUCUCUAUUUCCAUUUUGUGGAUCUCUUCAAUUCUGUUCUAUUGUACUUCUGAUGAGGGAAAAACAUAGGAAUACUUCAUAUGAGGGCAUCCUAUUGUGCAGCACAAAGAAGCCUCAGCUCUUCCAAAUAUUUUUAUAGGCUGUUAUUAUUUUGUAUUAAUUGUGCUUCAUUUAGUAGUCACAGAAAAUAAGACUUUCUCAAAGAAAUUUUGGUUGACGUCAAUUGGGAAAGUAUAAAUCUGUUAGCAGUUAGGUGAAGAUCCUGGAGAGUAAGAAUAUGAGCAAUUAUUCCUCUGAAUUUUUCAUUGAAAAUGUAACUUUUCUAGCAUAACUAAGUAUAGUUGGACAGUGAGUUGGGUUUUUUGGUUGGCUGGCUUUUUAAGGAAAGGAUAUAUACCUAAUUUACUGUUUGUGGGUCAACCUGAUCUGCCAUAAUUAACAUUGCAGUGGAAAAUCAUUUUAGGCAACCAUAGGGAAUGGAUCUAGUUCUCCCUGUGCCAUUUGGAAUCAUACAUUAUCAUUGCAUAAUUAUUCACAGCAAUAAAAAAAUCAUUACUAUAUAAAACUUUA